rnacentral:rRNA from 1 species
CCCUUAGAUGUUCUGGGCCGCACGCGCGCUACCCUGAUCAGUGCAACAAGCAUCCGUCCUUGGCCGACAGGCCCGGGCAAUCUUUGAACGCUGAUCGUGAUGGGGAUAGACUUUUGCAAUUUUUGGUCUUCAACGAGGAAUUCCUAGUAAACGCAAGUCAUCAACUUGCAUUGAUUACGUCCCUGCCCUUUGUACACACCGCCCGUCGCACCUACCGAUUGAAUGGUCCGGUGAAGCCUCCGGAUUGGCGUGCACCCUCGGGUGCUGCCGAGAAGUUGGCUAAACCUUACCAUUUAGAGGAAGGUGAAGUCGUAACA